AUUGAACGCUGGCGGCAGGCCUAACACAUGCCAGUCGAACGGUAGCACAGAGAGCUUGCUCUCGGGUGACGAGUGGCGGACGGGUGAGUAAUGUCUGGGAAACUGCCCGAUGGAGGGGGAUAACUACUGGAAACGGUAGCUAAUACCGCAUAAUGUCGCAAGACCAAAGAGGGGGACUUUCGGGCCUCUUGCCAUCGGAUGUGCCCAGAUGGGAUUAGCUAGUUGGUGAGGUAAUGGCUCACCAAGGCGACGAUCCCUAGCUGGUCUGAGAGGAUGACCAGCCACACUGGAACUGAGACACGGUCCAGACUCCUACGGGAGGCAGCAGUGGGGAAUAUUGCACAAUGGGCGCAAGCCUGAUGCAGCCAUGCCGCGUGUAUGAAGAAGGCCUUCGGGUUGUAAAGUACUUUCAGCGGGGAGGAAGGCAAUGCGGUUAAUAACCGUGUUGAUUGACGUUACCCGCAGAAGAAGCACCGGCUAACUCCGUG
rnacentral:rRNA from 1 species